UCCAGAGUCUAUGGAGGGUGCAGUUC
rnacentral:piRNA from 1 species